UGGUAAAUCCUCUUUCACUGAUCUCAGACUGUAUGGGGAAUACCGGAGUAGCAUUCAAACUGAUGUGAUUGACCCUUGCGAAUAUUCGGAAGCCCUUUAACCCAAACAGGCCGUGCUAUGUUGAGGUGUGUUAGCGAUGACGGAUGUGGAGGCGACUUAUGAUGAAUUCAUCGCCUCUCGACGGUCCGGCCGUAGGAAUGCCAUCCAUGAUAUCCCAGCAGCCUCUGGAGAAGAGGGAGACUCCGAGCUGCCACAGCUCAACAUCACCAAGUCAGGAGAUGAGGGAGAAAACAAGGAUACACGUCAGGACUCUCCAGUUAAAGAAGAGGAGACUAAAGCUGAGGGCAGCUAAACUGACAUUUAUGGACUCAAACAGCUGCUUCUUUUUAUCCACCUGAUCCCUGAGUUCUAGGCCUCGAACUGGCAAAUCAAAGGAUUUCACUGUUGAUGACUCGGUGAAAUCCUCUCCUCACCGUUCUGCUUUCAGGAAGUCAUUGCUAUAGCAACCACAGCGCAUUUCCCCUUCUGCACUUGGGUGUGUUCCAGUUUCCUUAAAAAAACUAUUUUCCUUGCUGCCUUUCCUUCAUAUUCCUUCAUGGCUGCUGAUAUGAGACUGGAUGUGAUGCAUGUUGAACGCAGCAUGACAUCAACAACCAAAACCAGCGUGUGACUGCCAGUGGUCCUGUGAGGAAAGGAGGGAGAAGAGGCCAUCCAAGGUUUCUGGGGCAGGCUUAAGUGUUUUGGUCCCCCCCCCCCCCUCCUUCUCGCUUUGAAUCAAUCACCAGCGAUGGGGCUGAAACACUUCCCUGGAACCGAGGACAGUGAUUAGACACCUACUCUUCCUCUGCUCUUCUUGCAUCUACACCUGCGUGUGUAUCCAAUCUCCCUAAAUGAUGUUCCUUUGUAUAUUUGUUUAUUUUGGAGCAUUGAUCCAUCAAUGAAAUUGUGGGUGGGCUUGCUGGACGUUAUGUCACAAUUGCACUCCAGUGUUUUCAAAGUUAAACUAAACAUCCCAAGCGAGGGUGGUUCUUUGUGUUUGUUUAUCCACGUCAGGUGUGUCUGAUUCAAUUUCACAGAAAUGUGUGUCUGCAAUCUGGAAACUUUGAUAUUACAUUAAUUGGUCAGACAGACACAAAUCAGGUUAAAACACAAGACAUGCUGAGUAUUACUGAGUUAGGAACAAUAUUGAUCUGCUCAAAGAUAAUCAAAAGAGAAGCUGUGUUCUGUUUCACUGCCUGGCUUCACUUCCAUGUUUGUUGCACACUAACCUCACAUCACCUCCUUUUAUAUAUUCUAAAUAUUCUAAAAGUUUUAUGUUUAGAUCUUCACAUAUACAUGAAAAACUACUGUCUAACAUUCAGUAUUAUAAAAUGCAAGUUAAACUGCAGUUGGUAACCUUUAUAAAUACAAUUAUAAUAUUGUCAUAUUAGCUGAAACUGUCACAAUACAUAUUAUAUAUAUAUAUAUAUAUAUAUAUAUAUCCUCCCAGGAGUGCCUGAGACAGAUGUUCUGUUCCUCUGCCUCCCCCUACUGUGAGGAUAUAGUGACAGUUUGAGCUAAUAUGACAAAACGUUGUUUUUAUAAAAGAUACCUACUGCAGCUUUAACUUCAAAUAUCUGUUGUGAAAUUGAAGUGACAUCUGAAAUCUGCAAGUUCGUCUUGCAGUCAUUCAGAUAGUUUUUAAUAACUUAGGAAUAAAACUUAGAAAUGAUUGUCUACCAUGACCGUACUUCUUAUGUGAAACUACAUUUAGUUUGGUUACUAAGUAUACACUCAUUGUCUGCUGUUCUAUGGAGAAGUCUUUAGUCUCGUAGUAUGUGAUGCAAAUGAUGUAGAAUUGGGCAUUUUAACAUCGUAUUUACAGGUCAAGACUAACUUGCGCAUUGAGUCCGGUAUAGUGUGAUUUAAUGACCAGUACUGUUGCAGUGCAGGUGACCUAAAGCACCCAUCAUCAUGUUGUAUUUUCACUGCAUUGUCUAUGACUUUACUGUAUAAUGCACUCAUAUUUACGUUUGUCCACUUUAUUAGUUUUGACAUGUGAUUAAACCUCAGCGGUGAAAAAUGAAAUACCAUCAAGAUGAAUGUAUUUAUGUUGUCCUGUGUAAGAUGAGAGGGUUGAGAAAACAUCGUCUUUGUCUCCCUCUAGUGGUCAAAGCCAUACCACCGGUCAAUGUUGUCAUUCUGAGGCUGUAGUCUACUGUAUAAUUAAGAUUGUAGGUGUCUGUGAUGGGAUAGGUACUGUGAUGUGAUGAGAGUGGUGCACUACAAUCAUAGACCAAUGUAAUACAAAAGAGAAGUAGGCCUGCUUUUAUCAUAUAGGCAUUAAAUACUGGGAUUAUAGAUAUCAUGCAAAAGUUAGUAAACUUUUCAUUUCUAUUUAAUACUUCUAAAAACCACAAUACAGAGGGUUUUACAAAUACACAUAGAAUACAUAACAAUAAUGUCAGAGGUUCAUUUAUCUUAAUUUACUGGCUGUUUGACUUUCUCAUGGACUUUGCCAACAUAUAAUAAAAUGUACCGUACAGGAAAACAAUGUUAGGUCACUGUGACCUGGCAUCACUGUGAAGUCUUGUGUAACUGAAGAAUCGUAGCACACCUCAGAACUUGUAGUCUUUUUGGUUUUUAAUGAAA